rnacentral:rRNA from 1 species
GAGUUUGAUCCUGGCUACAGAACGAACGCUGGCGGCAUGCCUAAUACAUGCAAGUCGAACGAGAUCUUCGGAUCUAGUGGCGCACGGGUGCGUAACGCGUGGGAAUCUGCCCUUGGGUUCGGAAUAACUUCUGGAAACGGAAGCUAAUACCGGAUGAUGACGUAAGUCCAAAGAUUUAUCGCCCAAGGAUGAGCCCGCGUAGGAUUAGCUAGUUGGUGGGGUAAAGGCCCACCAAGGCGACGAUCCUUAGCUGGUCUGAGAGGAUGAUCAGCCACGCUGGGACUGAGACACGGCCCAGACUCCUACGGGAGGCAGCAGUAGGGAAUAUUGGACAAUGGGCGCAAGCCUGAUCCAGCAAUGCCGCGUGAGUGAUGAAGGCCUUAGGGUUGUAAAGCUCUUUUACCCGGGUAUGAUAAUGACAGUACCGGGAGAAUAAGCUCCGGCUAACUCCGUG